GGAGAGGUGCCAGAGUGGUCGAAUGGGACGCACUCGAAAUGCGUUGUGGCAGUGAUGUCACCGUGGGUUCGAAUCCCACCCUCUCCG
rnacentral:tRNA from 1 species